rnacentral:rRNA from 1 species
GUUGUUGGGUAGGGGAGCGUUCUGUAAGCCUGUGAAGGUGUACUGUGAGGUAUGCUGGAGGUAUCAGAAGUGCGAAUGCUGACAUAAGUAACGAUAAAGCGGGUGAAAAGCCCGCUCGCCGGAAGACCAAGGGUUCCUGUCCAACGUUAAUCGGGGCAGGGUGAGUCGACCCCUAAGGCGAGGCCGAAAGGCGUAGUCGAUGGGAAACAGGUUAAUAUUCCUGUACUUGGUGUUACUGCGAAGGGGGGACGGAGAAGGCUAUGUUGGCCGGGCGACGGUUGUCCCGGUUUAAGCGUGUAGGCUGGUUUUCCAGGCAAAUCCGGAAAAUCAAGGCUGAGGCGUGAUGACGAGGCACUACGGUGCUGAAGCAACAAAUGCCCUGCUUCCAGGAAAAGCCUCUAAGCAUCAGGUAACAUCAAAUCGUACCCCAAACCGACACAGGUGGUCAGGUAGAGAAUACCAAGGCGCUUGAGAGAACUCGGGUGAAGGAACUAGGCAAAAUGGUGCCGUAACUUCGGGAGAAGGCACGCUGAUAUGUAGGUGAAGUGAUUUACUCAUGGAGCUGAAAUCAGUCGAAGAUACCAGCUGGCUGCAACUGUUUAUUAAAAACACAGCACUGUGCAAACACGAAAGUGGACGUAUACGGUGUGACGCCUGCCCGGUGCCGGAAGGUUA